GGCCUGUAGAUAAUAAUUUCAGGUCUAGCCUGCCCAAUGAAUAAUUUUAAUGGCUGCGGUAUAUUGACCGUACAAAGGUAGCAUAAUCAUUAGUUUUUUAAUUAAAAGCUGGAAUGAAGGGUUUGAUGAAAAGAUAACUGUCUCUAGGAGAAUUAAUUAGAAUUUUAUUUUUAAGUGAGAAAGCUUAAAUUUUCAUAGAAGACGAGAAGACCCUAUAGAGUUUUAUAUUUUUUUAAUAGUAAGAAUUUUUAGUUGAUAUAAUUUUUAUAUAUAUAAAAAUAUUUUGUUGGGGUGAUAAAAAAAUUAAUAAAACUUUUUUUUUACUGAAACAUUGAUUUUUGAAUUAUUUGAUCCUAAAUUUUAGAUUGUAAGAUAAAAUUACCUUAGGGAUAACAGCGUAAUUUCUUUUAGAGUUCUUAUCGAAUAAGAGGAUUGCGACCUCGAUGUUGGAUUAAAAUUUAUGUGAGGUGAAGAAGUUUCACGAUUAGGUCUGUUCGACCUUUAAAAUUUUACAUGAUCUGAGUUUAAACCGGUGUAAG
rnacentral:rRNA from 1 species